GAAAGUUAUGUUUGUAGUUGCUCGGGGAUACCCCUGAUAGUCCAUGCCAGUCGCAGGCAAAAGGAUCCACGUAAGUCAGUCAAAGCACUGACAAUCAUGGUGCGGCUUAGAAGUAAGUCCUGCCAGAAAUGAGAGGGUAAGUAGUGAGAGGUUAAGUCCGGGUAGCAAAAGCUCCAGCAGGCGAGUGUGGGGUCAAAGACUAGGUCAAAUAACUUUC
rnacentral:ncRNA from 1 species